AACUUGUGAAGGAAAUGUUGGAUAGUGGGGUUAUUCAACCCAGCAGUAGUUCUUAUGCCUCUCCAGUUUUUUUGUUUAAGAAAAAGGAUAGUUUUUGGAGAGUAUGUAUUAAUUCCAGAAGAUUAAAUGACCUCACCAUCAUAGAUAAAUUUCUAAUACUUAUUAUAGAUGAUCUCUUAGAUGAACUUCAUGGGGCAACUGUUUUUUUCCAAUAUUGACUUGAAAGUAGGUUAUCAUCAAACAAUGUUGAACCCUAGGGAUGUCCACAAAACUGCUUUCAGAACUCACCAUGGGCAUUAUGAGUUUACUAUCAUGCCCUUUAGGUUGACAAAUGCUCUAGCA
rnacentral:misc_RNA from 1 species